GGAAACGACGAAUAAUACCCUAUGAAACUAUCACUUCGCAUGAAGCGAUAGUCAAAGUGUUAGCGGUGUAAGAUGGACUUGCGUCUGAUUAGCUAGUUGGUGAGAAAAAGCCCACCAAGGCAACGAUCAGUAGCCGGCUUGAGAGAGUGUACGGCCACAUUGGGACUGAGACACGGCCCAG
rnacentral:rRNA from 1 species